UACAGGGGGGGCAAGCGUUGUUCGGAAUUACUGGGCGUAAAGGGCCAGUAGGCGGCCAACUAAGUCCGACGUGAAAUCCCCAGGCUUAACCUGGGAACUGCGUCGGAUACUGGAUGGCUUGAGAUUGGGAGAGGGAUGCGGAAUUCCAGGUGUAGCGGUGAAAUGCGUAGAUAUCUGGAGGAACACCGGUGGCGAAGGCGGCAUCCUGGACCAACACUGACGCUGAGGAGCGAAAGCCAGGGGGGCAAACGGG
rnacentral:rRNA from 1 species